rnacentral:rRNA from 1 species
UACGAACCGUGCGAACGUUGUUCGGAUUCACUGGGCUUAAAGGGCGCGUAGGCGGACUCGCAAGUCUGUGGUGAAAGCCCCCAGCUCAACUGGGGAAGUGCCGUGGAUACUGCAAGUCUGGAGGAGGGUAGGGGCAUCUGGAACGCUGGGUGGAGCGGUGAAAUGCGUUGAUAUCCAGCGGGACUACGGUGGCGGAGGCGAGGUGCUGGGCCCUUUCUGGCGCUGAGUGCGCGAAAGCCAGGGGAGCAAACGGG